AAAGACUUAAGUUAAUUCAAACUGAAGGCCUUCAAAGCCUUAAAUGGAAGUUAAAAUCUUCCAGUCUUUG
rnacentral:tRNA from 1 species